rnacentral:rRNA from 1 species
GUGCCAGCAGCCGCGGUAAUACCAGCCCCGCGAGUGGUCGGGACUCUUGCUGGGCCUAAAGCGCCCGUAGCCGGCCCGGUAAGUCCCUCCUUAAAGCCCCGGGCUCAACCCGGGGAGCGGGGGGAUACUGCCGGGCUAGGGGGCGGGAGAGGCCGGGGGUACCCCAGGGGUAGGGGCGAAAUCCGAUAAUCCCUGGGGGACCACCAGUGGCGAAGGCGCCCGGCUGGAACGCGCCCGACGGUGAGGGGCGAAAGCUGGGGGAGCAAAGGGGAUUAGAUACCCCUGUAGUCCCAGCUGUAAACGAUGCGGGCUAGCUGUUGGGCGGGCUUAGAGCCCGCCCAGUGGCGGAGGGAAGCCGUUAAGCCCGCCGCCUGGGGAGUACGGCCGCAAGGCUGAAACUUAAAGGAAUUGGCGGGGGGGCACACAAGGGGUGGAGCCUGCGGCUCAAUUGGAGUCAACACCUGGAAGCUUACCGGGGGAGACCGCAGGAUGAUGGCCAGGCUAACGACCUUGCCGGACGAGCUGAGAGGAGGUGCAUGGCCGUCGUCAGCUCGUGCCGUGAGGUGUCCGGUUAAGCCCGGCAACGAGCGAGACCCCCACCCCUAGUUGCUACCCGAUCCUUCGGGAUCGGGGCCACACUAGGGGGACUGCCGGCGUAAGCCGGAGGAAGGAGGGGGCCACGGCAGGUCAGUAUGCCCCGAAACCCCGGGGCUGCACGCGAGCUGCAAUGGCGGGGACAGCGGGAUCCGACCCCGAAAGGGGAAGGUAAUCCCGUAAACCCCGCCCCAGUAGGGAUCGAGGGCUGUAACUCGCCCUCGUGAACCUGGAAUCCCUAGUAACCGCGCGUCACCAUCGCGCGGUGAAUACGUCCCUGCCCCUUGUACACACCGCCCGUC